AAUGAAGUGCCUGAAAAAGGAUUAUCUUGAUAGGAUAAAUCAUGUAAAACCGAGAUUUACCUUCAUUA
rnacentral:tRNA from 1 species